CACAAAAGGAGGAGAUCACUGGAGAUAUAUUAAAGUAUGGAGACCACCAUCUGUGUGAAGACAGAAGGACAAACCAUAUGGCAUAUGGAGGUAAAGACUACCGAUGGCUUAUGGAUUAUGCAAGUGAUUGAUAUUUGAAAUAAAAAUCUACAUUGAGUUAUCAAAGAUAAUAGUCACUUCCAUUGAAGAAUAAGCAAAACUUCCAAAGACUUCAUUAAUAUCCACAUCAGUGAUAUUUCAAGAGAGACUAACUCAGCAGUGUCAGCUAAUGAAAGUGAAUGAAGAAUGUGAAGAUUAAAAGAUCGUAUGAAUCAAGAAUUAAUUUGUGAAUUUCAUGAGUCAUAAGUGCCCCUAGUGUUUUCCCAGGCCUCACCAAGGCUGUAGGUACAAAUGGUAGAGUUGCCAUCAUGUUCCAGCCACUCUUGGUCCCCAUCUGCAUGUGCCGGUAAUGUCAGAAACUGGUAUGCCGGCGGGACGCAGUGGCUCACACCUGUAAUCCCAACACUCUGGGAGGCCGAAGCGGGUGAAUCACGA
rnacentral:lncRNA from 1 species